UACAGAGGGUGCAAGCGUUAAUCGGAAUUACUGGGCGUAAAGCGUGCGUAGACGGUUACAUAAGUCGGGUGUGAAAGCCCCGGGCUCAACCUGGGAAUUGCAUUCGAGACUGCGUAGCUAGGGUGCGGAAGAGGGAAGCGGAAUUCCGGUGUAGCGGUGAAAUGCGCAGAUAUCGGGAAGAACACCCGUGGCGAAGGCGGUUCUCUGGGACGGUACUGACGCUGAGACGCGAAAGCGUGGGGAGCGAACAGG
rnacentral:rRNA from 1 species